rnacentral:rRNA from 1 species
UACGGAGGGUGCGAGCGUUAAUCGGAAUUACUGGGCGUAAAGGGUGCGUAGGUGGUUUAAUAAGUUAACUGUGAAAGCCCUGGGCUCAACCUGGGAAAGUCAGUUAAGACUGUUAUGACUCGAGUAUGGGAGAGGGUAGUGGAAUUUCCGGUGUAGCGGUGAAAUGCGUAGAGAUCGGAAGGAACACCAGUGGCGAAGGCGGCUACCUGGCCUAAUACUGACACUGAGGCACGAAAGCGUGGGUAGCAAACAGGAUUAGAAACCCCAGUAGU